rnacentral:rRNA from 1 species
CAAAAACAUCUCUCCUUGAGUUAAUGAAUUAGGAGUAGGCCCUGCCCGGUGGAUUAUCUAAACGGAAUAUUGUUUAAAGUAGCGUAAUAAUUCGUCCCUUAAUUAGGGUCUGUAUGAAUGGGUUGACGUGGAGUAACUGUCUCUGAAAAAUAGAUUGAAAUUUUCUUUUUAGUGAAAAGCCUAAAAUGACCUUAAAAGACGAGAAGACCCCGUCGAGCUUAAGAAAAAGAGAGGAGGCUUCCUUUUUUUUCAGGUUUGUUGGGGCAACAGAGGAGAAAAAAACCUCCUUUAUUUAUUGAGAUCCGUAUUUAACGAAAAUAGGAAAAAGUUACCGCGGGGAUAACAGCGUAAGACGGCUUGGGAGUUCUUAUCUAAGGCCGUAAGUGCGACCUCGAUGUUGGAUUAAGGUGAGCUUAAGGGUGCAGCAGCUCUUAAAGCGGGACUGUUCGUCCUUUAAAUCCUUACAUGAUCUGAG